ensembl:lncRNA
CUCUCUCCCCCUCUCUUCCUUCCUCUCUCCUUCCCUCCAUUCAUCUCCAGAAAGUAGCUCAGAUCAUAAGCCCUUCCACUAUAGUGUGAUUCCUGACUGGGACCCUGCUUGGAGUCUGAUAUCCAGAAAGACACUAUUACCACGCCAAGGAAGACAGACGAGACCAAUAUGUUUUCUCGCGCUGCCAGCAGCACCUCUCAUGGACACUGUAAAGACCCGGGACUGUUUUUAAAUGAAAAGAAAGGCCACUUUUGAGCAUAGCUUUUAUAUAGUUUUUUUUUUUUUUUUAAAGUUAAUUUAAAUAUUGUUAUAUUUUUCUUCCCAAAAGUACCUGGUGGGUGCAGUCGUUUUUUUCCUGUUACUCUAUUGGGUUAUUCUGUAAAUAAUUAUUUUAAUAGUUUCCUGUGAAUUUAUGAAUGGUUGGUUUCUUUAUCGUCUUGUUGACCACUUUUACUGCAACUUCUGAUUCACCUGUUGAUUGAUGUUAUACCCUGGGAUGAAAGGCUAGUUCUGAUAUACCCUGGGAUGAAAGGCUAGUUCUGGUAUACCCUGGGAUGAAAGGCUAGUUCUGGUAUACCCUGGGAUGAAAGGCUAGUUCUGGUAUACCCUGGGAUGAAAGGCUAGUUCUGGUAUACCCUGGGAUGAAAGGCUAGUUCUGGUAUACCCUGGGAUGAAAAGCUAGUUCUGGUAUACCCUGGGAUGAAAGGCUAGUUCUGUUAUACCCUGGGAUGAAAAGCUAGUUCUGUUAUACCCUGGGAUGAAAGGCUAGUUCUGAAUCAGUCAGGAUACUCUUCAAAAAAGGUCCAAAGCAACAUGUUUAUUUUUCGGCAUUCUGGUACGACUCUUUUUAGUGUCUUCACAUAACGUCUGUUCUGUGGUCAGAUUCCUCCAUCUUGUUUUGUUCUGUGUCUCGGUCUGUUGCCACUUCCUGUAGCCGUUCAGGUCUGACUGAGGGUGUAUCCCAAAUAGCAACCUAUUCAUUAUGUAGGGGAUUACUGUUGACCAGAGACCUAUGGCCAAAAGCUCUGGUCGAAACUAGUGCACUUAUAUAUAGGGGGAUAAGGUGCUAUUUGUGACGUGAGCCUGACUCCAGGUCAGUUCCAGUGGGUCUGAGAGGCUGAGGUUCUCCCAGCUGAGUGACUCGGGGCUGUUGUGCUGGAGAACGGUACACACCGAGAGAAGAAGAGAGAUAGAGGCUACUUUCACCUUCAGAGUUUCAAAUGCAAAAAAACAAAAAAAAAAAAAAAAAAUUCUUGUUCAUAUACAUUUUUUUUUUUAAGACGGCAUUAAGAAGAAAGGAAAUCCUCUAAAUGUACAUUGUCUGUCUGUAAAUAUUUGCACCAGUGGUGCUCCCUGGUUCUAGUAUUGUGUAGGAGAAAGCAGAGGAAGACUGUGAUAGCGGUGUACAUGAAUCAACAUUCAACAACAAAAUGACUUUCCACUCGUUGAAUCUGGAGCAUGAAUGUCUUCAUCCCCUGUCUUCAUCACAACACGUUCUAACUUUUAAUAAACAUGUGUUGGUUUUUGUAUCCAGAA